AUCUAAACCCGAUGGCACGAAUGCCCCCGAUUUUUCAUCGGGCAGAAGAUACAGCGGGGUUAACG
rnacentral:sRNA from 1 species